UACGUAGGGUGCAAGCGUUAAUCGGAAUUACUGGGCGUAAAGCGUGCGCAGGCGGUUUUGUAAGUCUGACGUGAAAUCCCCGGGCUCAACCUGGGAAUUGCGUUGGAGACUGCAAGGCUAGAAUCUGGCAGAGGGGGGUAGAAUUCCACGUGUAGCAGUGAAAUGCGUAGAGAUGUGGAGGAGCACCGAUGGCGAAGGCAGCCCCCUGGGUCAAGAUUGACGCUCAUGCAACGAAAGCGUGGGGAGCAAACAGG
rnacentral:rRNA from 1 species